rnacentral:rRNA from 1 species
GAUGAACGCUAGCUACAGGCUUAACACAUGCAAGUCGAGGGGUAGCAGGGUAGCAAUACCGCUGACGACCGGCGCACGGGUGAGUAACACGUAUCCAACCUUCCCAUAACUCAGGGAUAGCCUUUCGAAAGAAAGAUUAAUACCUGAUAGUACUUAAGAAAGGCAUCUUUUGUAAGUUAAAGAUUUAUUGGUUAUGGAUGGGGAUGCGUUCCAUUAGAUAGUUGGUGAGGUAACGGCUCACCAAGUCUUCGAUGGAUAGGGGUUCUGAGAGGAAGGUCCCCCACAUUGGUACUGAGACACGGACCAAACUCCUACGGGAGGCAGCAGUGAGGAAUAUUGGUCAAUGGGCGAGAGCCUGAACCAGCCAAGUAGCGUGAAGGAUGAAGGUCCUAUGGAUUGUAAACUUCUUUUAUAGUAGAAUAAAGUGAGCCACGUGUGGUUUUUUGUAUGUAUACUAUGAAUAAGGAUCGGCUAACUCCGUGCCAGCCGCCGCAGUAA